AAGGGGUUAGUUUUAUAUAGAAUAAAAGAUUGUCAUUCUUUAGGAAUUUUGUCGGAAUACUCCUUG
rnacentral:tRNA from 1 species